rnacentral:tRNA from 1 species
GACUGGAUAGCCUAGUGGUAAAGGCAUCACAAUGACAAUGCUGAGGUCCCAGGUUCAAAUCCUGGUCUAGUCA